CAACCCAAAUCCCAAAUUCCCCCCCCCCAAGUCCCCAAAUCCCUCUCACCUAUUGCUCUCCUCGCUGCCGCUACGCCGCCCUCCGUCUCUAGCAAGCCUUAGCCUUUUCCUUCCAAUUCGAGCUCCUUCUCCACCUCCAUCCAUGGCUUCAUUCAAAGCCUCGCCCUCGCCGGCCUCUUCAGUCGAUGGCAGCGGCGCUGACCGCACGGCUCUCUCUCGGCGCCCUUCCGGCGAGAUUCACGUCAUUGUCAGGCCGAUGUUUGCCGGAAAGACUACCGCUCUUCUUCGCAGGAUUAAUUCAGAGGGCAGCAAUGGCAGGAACGUUGCAAUCAUUAAGUCGAGUUAGGACACGUGUUGUAUGAUCAUCUUGUGUCCACCAUCAAUUCUGAAAAGUUCUUGACUCAGCUUAAAUUGCUCCACGAAUCUGUUGAUGGAACUGGCUCCAAAUUUCCUUUUAAGGACGCUUCAGGUUCUUUUUUGUUUUCUUCUUUUUUUUCCUUCUUCUUGCUAAUCAUUUACUUAUAGUAUUCAUUCAACUUUUGAUAUUAUCUUUUUAGUUGCUCGAUUUUCAUUUCUAUUUACAUGAUGUGAUUUUUUCCUCAGGAAUGGAUUUACAGUGAGCUUCUGAACUAGUCAAGUACUUUAAGUUGAAGUGGACACAUGCUAGGACAUUAAAAUUAUAGAAUUCCUUUUUAAGUGCAGUGGGGCCUAAAUUCAAACUUAAAUCAUACAUCUACAUCUUCAUCCCUAAUUAUAAAUAAACAAGUCCAACUUCCUAAGAUCGCUCAUCCCUUUUGCAAUGCGCAAUAAUUGUUUCUUCCAUUUGGAUCUCAAUAACUCCAAAUUGGCUUUUUUGUGGUUAAACUUUCCAAGGCGGGAUGCUUAUAUCUGCUACAUGAAUGACCAAAUGAUUUAAUUUGCAUGUUUAUACUUCUUUAUGUUUGAUUUUGAGUAGUAGAGAUGACGGUUUCACAUUUCCAGAAAAGAUUUGCAAGCUUUGUUAUUUGCAAAUUGAAGAGUUCGAAGCCUAUUUAUCAUAAAGAGACUUGGUGAUGCAAUCAAAGAAAUUAAUUUUGUAGCAAUAUUUUAUGACUAAAACUUAGAAUCACUAUGUUUGCAUAAAGCAAUAGCAACUCCCCCAGCCUUUUCCCUACUAUUUGGGGUCAACUACAUAGAUCUUCCUUCUCCAUUAUACUCUCAUCAAGGGCCAUGAUUCAAUUGAACAAUAGCAUACUACUAUUUAUUUAUUGUGGCCUACCUUGCCCUCUUGGAUUAUCUUUGUUGUAUAUUCUUUCACUUUCCCUAAUCAAGGUACGUGUUGGUCUUCUUUUUUAUAUCCUAACCAUCUCAACCAAUUUCUCUAGUUUUAUCCUCGUGACACUUUUGCUAAAUUGUUGUUUUUAAUGUUGAACACUCUUGUUUCAUAAGGAUGGCUGGACUUAUACCCAUCUAUUAGAUUUUUCUUUUGAGUCUUACUGCUGUACAUGUUGCAUAAUGCCUGAACCAUUUCACUAACACCAAUCUCUCCAUGCCUUCAAUAUUGAUUGCUUCUUCACUUUUAUUUUGGUUUUCACUAAAACAUUUUACAUAUUUAUUCUUAACCCUUUUACUUUUGUAGCUACUCUCCAAUAAUUAAGCAGCAGUAGUAGAUUCAAGAAAAGAAAUUGAGUUCUGGAAAUAAAAUUGGAUGUUCUCAAUAUUAUUAUGCUUGUUAAUGAUUAUUCAAAUUCCUUAAAAAUGAUUCAAGUUGUCACCUAUAGUUGGAUCUUAUUGCUUUUUAUGAUUUUCUAUUGUGCAAAUUUUACCGCCUUAAAAAUAAAAUUGAUAUUCUAUUAUAGUUACAUUGUGACAAUAAAUUUUCCUCUAUUUUUCCCAAAUGGUAUCGUGCUCUAAUCUUAGGUAUUCCCGUAAUGUAUCACAUGAGUCAAGUUGUAAACUCUUAUUUUUAGUUACAAAUUGUCACCAUUUCUUCUUUCUCUUUUCUUCCCACAAUUAGACAUAGUAGAAUGACAUCAUCUACCUUUCUUUCGGUGAUUAUUGGAAUAUUGAUUGUGGAAAAUCAUGGCUGAUUUUGAUAAUGCAAUUGUUUUACAUUGGCAUAAUUGAGACUAUUUUUAAUUUAAAAAUAGUUGAUUAAGAAUAUGUUGUAUUUUUUUACCGGAACAAAUUGUUAGAAAACAUUGAUCUGAUCAUACGCAGUGGAAAAAUAAAAUUUGAUUUUAUUGGUAUCACGUUUUUCAAAUCUUAUGGUUAAAUCGAAGACAUAAAACGAAAAGUUAUCUCGAAACGAAAUCUGAUUUCGUUGCCGAUAACCCGCCUGAUAUUUCCCACGCGUGAGAUGCCGAGUCGGUUCACCUGAAAUCGUCAAGACUUCAAUAGACUUGAGAGAAAAAAGGGCUCGAAAAUUUUCUCAAAAAUUUCUGUUUUUGAUUCAAUUCAUUGAUUAAUUGGAUUUUGGGUUUAAUGUUAUAUUUAUAAACAAGAAACCCUAAAACCCUAAAUGCUAUUGAGCCGGGCUUUAGGUGUUAGCAAAAAGCUCAAACCAAAUUAAUAAUUAAAUAAAUAAUCAUAUUACUUAUUUAAUUAUUCUUAUUUCUUAAAUAAUUGCAUUUAUAAUUUAGUAAUUCCAUAAUUACUAAAUUUGUCUCCUUUUUCUUUUAAAAAACGAUUUCUAUUGGGUGAGACUUUCUGGGUUCACAAUUAAAUUGGCAACGAGAAUUAAUCAAUUAUUAAUUCUCGUAAAUCACGAGUGACAUCUAGCAAUAUGUCAUGAUUACCCAAUUUAAUGUGAAGCGAGAAUGUGAACCUUGCAUUACGGUGUCCUGCAAUACGGUCCCUCUAUUAUACUAUAUCCCGACGAGAUAUGAGAUCACGGUCAGUAGGUCAAAUCUCUCGAUCUCGUCGUAUGACCAAAUCCAAUAAUCACACUUGAUUAAUAUGACACAUCCUCUACGGAAUCCAAAUUUCGUCGUUAUAUUACCUCGGCCAAGGAUUUAUCGUCAAGUGACUACUGGAUCGCAUAUGAUAUCUUCCUCGUAUAUCUCGAGAUGAUAGAUUCCAUGUCUGAUGCACACAUACCUCGUGUGUCACUGAACUAGGCACAUAGAUACGUACGGCUAUCCCUGAUUAGGACAACCAUAUAAUAUCGCUGAUAUCCUAAUCCACUAACACACAGAUAUCCAUGUCAUCUCAGGUCUAAGGACUAAUGCAAAUCCGUAGUUAAUAUUAAAUUAUUGACCCGUGAGAUAAAACCCAUGUGAUUCAAUAUUAAUUGUCCCGUUUAGUGAACUCGUUCCUAUAACGAGCACCCACUCGUCUUCCUUCUGUAUCUUAUACAGAGUGGUAUGAGACUUACCAAUCUUGUCUUUCGGUAUCUUAUACCGAACAAGGAGGAAGACGAUGUGCCAGUCUUUGCGAGUUACUAAUUAUCUAAGUUAGGAACUCUAUGGCCAGGAACAUAUUUAUAGUAUAACGUAUUGUGGAUUAACCGUCUCGAUUAUUCUUAACAAUUAAGAAUGGUAUCCACUCCUUAUUAUAUUAAAGGAUAUUUGUAUGUUCAAUUUAAAUUAUAUUGCAAUUUCAAUUAAACAUAAAAUUUGCCAUUAAAUAAAGUUUAAAGAAUUACAAGAUCAAGCCUUAUUGUGUCAUUAGAACUGGUCUUAAGGGCUUAUAUCUAACAAUCUCCCACUAGCCCUAAGACCAUUCUGAAUGGUAUCUCAUACCCCAUCUAUCUAGAUGAGAAUCUAGUUGCUUCUGGUUCAUGGCCUUGGUCAAUGGAUCUGCUGCAUUCUCUGAUGUAUCUACUCUCUGCACAUUGACAUCUCCUCUGCCAACAAUCUCUCGAAUGAGAUGAAAGCGUCUCUCAAAGUGUUUGGACUUUUGGUGAGACCUUGGUUUUUUGGCUUGCGCUGUGGCCCCAUUGUUGUCGCAAAAUAAAGGCACGACAGACUCUAUUGAGGGAACCACUCCAAGUUCUGUCACAAACUUCUUAUAGUUGACACAUAAAGUAGUUUUUACCUACAUUUACGUGUGGGUAAAAUUCUCAAAUUCUUGUAGUCAAACCAAUUAUAAACAAGUCACCAACAGUUGA